rnacentral:tRNA from 1 species
AAAAAGGUAAGCUAAAUUAAGCUCAUAGGUUCAUACCCUGUUUAUGAAAAACAUUUUUUCCCUUUUUA